GUCGAGGGGUAACAGGGAGUGCUUGCACUCUGCUGACGACCGGCGCACGGGUGCGUAACGCGUAUGCAACCUACCUUUUACAGGGGGAUAGUCAAGAGAAAUUUUGAAUAAUACCCCAUACGAUCCUGAUAUCACCUGAUAUUUGGAAGAAAACUUCGGUGGUAAAAGAUGGGCAUGCGUCCUAUUAGUUAGUUGGUGAGGUAACGGCUCACCAAGACAGCGAUAGGUAGGGGUCCUGAGAGGGAGAUCCCCCACACUGGUACUGAGACACGGACCAGACUCCUACGGGAGGCAGCAGUGAGGAAUAUUGGACAAUGGAGGCAACUCUGAUCCAGCCAUGCCGCGUGCAGGAAGACUGCCCUAUGGGUUGUAAACUGCUUUUAUACAGGAAGAAACCUACUUACGUGUAAGUAGCUGACGGUACUGUACGAAUAAGGAUCGGCUAACUCCGUGCCAGCAGCCGCGGUAAUACGGAGGAUCCAAGCGUUAUCCGGAAUUAUUGGGUUUAAAGGGUCCGUAGGUGGUUUGCUAAGUCAGAGGUGAAAUCCUACCGCUUAACGGUAGCACUGCCUUUGAUACUGGCAAACUUGAGUUAUUGUGAAGUAGUUAGAAUGUGUAGUGUAGCGGUGAAAUGCAUAGAUAUUACACAGAAUACCGAUUGCGAAGGCAGAUUACUAACAAUAUACUGACACUGAGGGACGAAAGCGUGGGUAGCGAACAGGAUUAGAUACCCUGGUAGUCCACGCCGUAAACGAUGGUCACUAGCUGUUUGACUAACAUUGGUUAGUUGAGUGGCUAAGCGAAAGUGAUAAGUGACCCACCUGGGGAGUACGCUCGCAAGAGUGAAAC
rnacentral:rRNA from 1 species